GCGGGAAGUCUGUUCCUUGCAGACCCCUGACCACGCGAUGAAUGAAUAAAGUACACUGACACACAGAUAUUCUGCUCUGCCAGUCCAGCUGAGGGUCCAAGCCCCUUACAGGCUCCCUGCUGAGCCCUGUAAACAGUUGCGACUCGGCAGGGAGCCUGUAAGCACCUGGGACCCUCAGAAUAUCUGUGUGUCAGCGUACUUUAUUCACCGGUCAUUGGGUCAGGGGUCUGCAAGGGACAGACUCCCCACAGCUGGUGACCCCUCGAGAGGAGCCCUGCCCCCAGCUGGUGCCCCAUGUGAGGCGCUGUGUGAGGAACUGUGUGAGGAAUGCUGUGAAGGAAACGCGACGAACCGCCCGAAAACGAAGACAGACAGAACAGCAUGUGGAGACUCACACAGUGAAAUUUUCCUCCAAGAAGUACUGCAUGAACAUACCAGGAAAACCAAAAGAAUUCACAGGACCUUUGAAAGAAGUGGCUUGCCGCUGCAAACUCCAUGAGACAGCUGAAAAACUGGCAAAGCGGCUGAGAUCUUUGAACUCCCUUUGAACUUUGAGAAUGGUGACUGGAAGAUGACAAUUCAUGUUGUUUUCAGGAAAGCUAUGACCGAGAAACCAAGGAACUCACUAUCUUGUCCUCUUGGAUGCCAGCUAUAAAUUGAAUCAAGUUGGACACCGGAAUUUUGACCACUUUCCACCUUUCUAUCGUGGUCAGGUAAGUUGCAUAAGCCUGUGAUAUGCAUGAUUUUGGACUUUGUUCCUUUUCACACUGGCCUACAGUUGAGGUACCAGAUUCUCAUACAUCAAUAAUUAAAGUAGUAAUCACUUAUAUGAGAUGUUGAAAUGUACUCCCUUCAAGAAAGGUGACAUUUUCAGCUGUUUUCUUAAUGGGAAAACAUUAUUAGUGGGAGCAAACUACAGAUCCUUCAAUGAGAUUAGUGUGAAAGCAGAAGAAAUGUGAAGGCAGUGGCUAUUUGAGUGACAUGAAAAUAUUCUAAGGGGCACAAAAGCAGAAAGGGAAAGCCGGUAACUUCACAGAAAUCUCAUUGCCUCCAUAGUUUUUCCCAACAUCAGGAAGUGCCUUUCUACAAACCUGUGGCAUGAACUUAACAGAAAGAAUUGAAAUUUCUACUUGUUGGAUAACUACACAGUUACACAACAAACAAGAGGCUAUACAUUUCCAUGUGGAGACUAAUAUUACAACUUAAUCCUUUUGGCAAUCAGAGAUGGGCAAUUAUGUUUCCAACUUAGAAAGCUUUCUAUUUUCAGGGCUUUCUUCAUACUUAAAUCUGGUAACCAAGCCUAUGAAAAGAAGUUUUAAAUACAGCAGGUAUAAAUGUCUGUAGGAAAAGGCUUGAGCAGUGUAGGUACCAUCUCAGAAUUAUAAGAGGGUGGACAGAACUUCUUUUGUUAAAUACUAUUAUCUUAACCCAAGAGAACUGUCAAUAGAGAGCUGAGUUUCUGGAUUAUGGGUGCUUCCCUCCUAUGUCUUAAGAUUAGCCAGCAGCAUGCAAGGAAUUGGAAGCAUGUCCUCACAUGACACAGCAAGAAGGGUGACAAGAUCCUAUUUGCGUUUGAAAAAGUUUACUCUUGCUGCUGCAUACAAAAUGGAAUGUUAAGAUGCAAGAAUGGAAUCAAGAAGGAGGCUCUUAGAAUAAUGGGUAAGAGUUAAUGGUGGCUUUGACCUGAGUGGAGGCUGUGGAGGUAGACAGAAGUGAGAACAUUUGCUGAUGCUGUAGGUAGGGGAAUGGUGAGGUGUUAUGGAUGGACUUGUGUCACUCUCAAAUUUAUAUAUUGAAGUUCUAACCCCUAGUACUUCAGAAUGUUACUAUAUUUGAAGACAGCAUUCUUAAAAAGGCUAUUAAGUUAAAAUGAGGUCAUAGGGUUGUCCCUAAUCCAAUAUAAUAGGUUUCUUCAUGAGAAGAGGAGAUUCGGUCACAGGCAUGUACAGAAGAAGACUGUGUGAAGACACAGAAGAAGUUAUCUACAAACCAACGAGAGAGGCUUCAGAAGAAACCAACAUUGUUGACACCCUGAUCUUGGAUUUCUAGACUCAGGAAUUAUGAGAAAAUAAAUUUUUAUUGUUUAAGCCA